rnacentral:rRNA from 1 species
CCUACGGGAGGCAGCAGUGGGGAAUUUUGGACAAUGGGGGCAACCCUGAUCCAGCAAUGCCGCGUGAGUGAAGAAGGCCCUCGGGUUGUAAAGCUCUUUUGUCAGGGAAGAAACGGUGGUUCCUAAUACGAGCUGCUAAUGACGGUACCUGAAGAAUAAGCACCGGCUAACUACGUGCCAGCAGCCGCGGUAAUACGUAGGGUGCAAGCGUUAAUCGGAAUUACUGGGCGUAAAGCGUGCGCAGGCGGUUAUAUAAGACAGAGGUGAAAUCCCCGGGCUCAACCUGGGAACUGCCUUUGUGACUGUAUGGCUAGAGUGUGUCAGAGGGGGGUAGAAUUCCACGUGUAGCAGUGAAAUGCGUAGAUAUGUGGAGGAAUACCGAUGGCGAAGGCAGCCCCCUGGGAUAACACUGACGCUCAUGCACGAAAGCGUGGGGAGCAAACAGGAUUAGAUACCCUGGUAGUCCACGCCCUAAACGAUGUCUACUAGUUGUCGGGACUUAAUUGUCUUGGUAACGCAGCUAACGCGUGAAGUAGACCGCCUGGGGAGUACGGUCGCAAGNUUAAAACUCAAAGGAAUUGACGGNUGAAGACGNGCGAGACGACGACGAGGGAGGAGG